rnacentral:rRNA from 1 species
GAUGAACGCUGGCGGCGUGCCUAAUACAUGCAAGUCGAGCGAACGGACGAGAAGCUUGCUUCUCUGAUGUUAGCGGCGGACGGGUGAGUAACACGUGGAUAACCUACCUAUAAGACUGGGAUAACUUCGGGAAACCGGAGCUAAUACCGGAUAAUAUUUUGAACCGCAUGGUUCAAAAGUGAAAGACGGUCUUGCUGUCACUUAUAGAUGGAUCCGCGCUGCAUUAGCUAGUUGGUAAGGUAACGGCUUACCAAGGCAACGAUGCAUAGCCGACCUGAGAGGGUGAUCGGCCACACUGGAACUGAGACACGGUCCAGACUCCUACGGGAGGCAGCAGUAGGGAAUCUUCCGCAAUGGGCGAAAGCCUGACGGAGCAACGCCGCGUGAGUGAUGAAGGUCUUCGGAUCGUAAAACUCUGUUAUUAGGGAAGAACAUAUGUGUAAGUAACUGUGCACAUCUUGACGGUACCUAAUCAGAAAGCCACGGCUAACUACGUGCCAGCAGCCGCGGUAAUACGUAGGUGGCAAGCGUUAUCCGGAAUUAUUGGGCGUAAAGCGCGCGUAGGCGGUUUUUUAAGUCUGAUGUGAAAGCCCACGGCUCAACCGUGGAGGGUCAUUGGAAACUGGAAAACUUGAGUGCAGAAGAGGAAAGUGGAAUUCCAUGUGUAGCGGUGAAAUGCGCAGAGAUAUGGAGGAACACCAGUGGCGAAGGCGACUUUCUGGUCUGUAACUGACGCUGAUGUGCGAAAGCGUGGGGAUCAAACAGGAUUAGAUACCCUGGUAGUCCACGCCGUAAACGAUGAGUGCUAAGUGUUAGGGGGUUUCCGCCCCUUAGUGCUGCAGCUAACGCAUUAAGCACUCCGCCUGGGGAGUACGACCGCAAGGUUGAAACUCAAAAGAAUUGACGGGGACCCGCACAAGCGGUGGAGCAUGUGGUUUAAUUCGAAGCAACGCGAAGAACCUUACCAAAUCUUGACAUCCUUUGACAACUCUAGAGAUAGAGCCUUCCCCUUCGGGGGACAAAGUGACAGGUGGUGCAUGGUUGUCGUCAGCUCGUGUCGUGAGAUGUUGGGUUAAGUCCCGCAACGAGCGCAACCCUUAAGCUUAGUUGCCAUCAUUAAGUUGGGCACUCUAAGUUGACUGCCGGUGACAAACCGGAGGAAGGUGGGGAUGACGUCAAAUCAUCAUGCCCCUUAUGAUUUGGGCUACACACGUGCUACAAUGGACAAUACAAAGGGCAGCGAAACCGCGAGGUCAAGCAAAUCCCAUAAAGUUGUUCUCAGUUCGGAUUGUAGUCUGCAACUCGACUACAUGAAGCUGGAAUCGCUAGUAAUCGUAGAUCAGCAUGCUACGGUGAAUACGUUCCCGGGUCU